rnacentral:rRNA from 1 species
CCUACGGGGGGCAGCAGUGGGGAAUAUUGGACAAUGGGCGAAAGCCUGAUCCAGCCAUGCCGCGUGUGUGAAGAAGGCCUUCGGGUUGUAAAGCACUUUCAGUGGGGAAGAAAGCCUUGGGGCUAAUACCCUCGAGGAAGGACAUCACCCACAGAAGAAGCACCGGCUAACUCCGUGCCAGCAGCCGCGGUAAUACGGAGGGUGCGAGCGUUAAUCGGAAUUACUGGGCGUAAAGCGCGCGUAGGCGGUCUGAUAAGCCGGUUGUGAAAGCCCCGGGCUCAACCUGGGAAUGGCAUCCGGAACUGUCAGGCUAGAGUGCAGGAGAGGAAGGUAGAAUUCCCGGUGUAGCGGUGAAAUGCGUAGAGAUCGGGAGGAAUACCAGUGGCGAAGGCGGCCUUCUGGACUGACACUGACGCUGAGGUGCGAAAGCGUGGGUAGCAAACAGGAUUAGAUACCCGGGUAGUC